UACGUAGGGUGCGAGCGUUAUUCGGAUUUACUGGGCGUAAAGCGCAUGUAGGCGGCUUUAUAAGUCUGAUGUGAAAGCCCCGAACUCAAUUUGGGAAGUGCAUUGGAUACUGUAAGGCUAGAGUAUAGGAGAGGUCGACGGAAUUUCUGGUGUAGAGGUGAAAUUCGUAGAUAUCAGAAGGAACAACAGAGGCGAAGGCGGUUGACUGGACUAUAACUGACGCUGAGAUGCGAAAGUGUGGGGAGCAAACAGG
rnacentral:rRNA from 1 species